rnacentral:rRNA from 1 species
GGGUCCGGACACACUGAGGAUUGACAGAUAUACGUCGUGCGUUGAGCUCUCUCGGGGGCCGAGCGCAUGACUGAAAGAUGCUAGUUCUUUCAUGAUUAUGUGAUAGGUGGUGCAUGGCCGUUCUUAGUUCGUGGAGUGAUCUGUCUGCUUAAUUGCGUAUCAUAAAAAAAGAGACCUAGUAUACGCGUAAGAUAUCGUUUACGGUUCGUGACCCCCUUCGGGCGUGUGUCGCACGUACGUAUCAUACGCACUGGUCUCCGAUAGCAACGAACGUGACCGUACUCUAUUGUUGCAGCGAAUGUAUGCAUCUUCGGGUGUAUCUACCGCUGCUUAGCAUAUUUCAUGCCUCGUGCGUGUGUAUGCAUUAAACUAUAGAGACCGCUGUAUUUUUUUUAAACCAGAGGAAGGAUACGGCAAUAACAGGUCUGUGAUGCCCUCAGAUGUUCCGGGCUGCACACGUGCUACAAUGAUCAUUGCACUGUGCAUCUAACCCAAUGUGCGUGGACGCCACGGUAUGUAUUUAUGCUUCGGCGCAGUAUAUAUCAGUUGGUCGGUCGCGCCGAACCUACUUCGAAAGUAAAAUUUCUCAGUGGGU